AUUUCCAUCACUGGGGAUCCUGUUAAAAAGCAGAUUCUGAAAAGCACAGUGGAUCUAUGUGAAUCAAGACAGCAUUUCUAACAGGCUCCCAACUGAUGCCAAU
rnacentral:miRNA from 1 species